UACAGAGGGGGCAAGCGUUGUUCGGAAUUACUGGGCGUAAAGGGCGCGUAGGCGGCCUUCUAAGUCGAACGUGAAAUCCCCGGGCUCAACCCGGGAACUGCGUCCGAUACUGGAAGGCUUGAAUCCGGGAGAGGGAUGCGGAAUUCCAGGUGUAGCGGUGAAAUGCGUAGAUAUCUGGAGGAACACCGGUGGCGAAGGCGGCAUCCUGGACCGGCAUUGACGCUGAGGCGCGGAAAGCCAGGGGAGCGAACGGG
rnacentral:rRNA from 1 species